CCGCAAGGCUAAAACCCAAAGGAAUUGACGGGGGCUUACACAAGCGGUGGAGCAUGUGGUUUAAUUCGAAACAACGCGCAAAACCUUACCAAUCCUUGACAUAUGAAAAACCAGGGUGUUUACCCGCUCUGUCUCUUUUAUACAGGUGCUGCAUGGCUGUCGUCAGUUCGUGGUGUGAGCUGUUGGGUUAAGUCCCAGAACGAACGCAACCCUCCUUUGAAAUGAAGGUUUACCUUUUUCAAAGACUGCCAAGGAUAUCUUGGAGGAAGGUGAGGAUGACGUCAAGUCCGCAUGGCCCUUAUGGGUUGGGCUACACACGUGCUACAAUGGGAAUGACAAAAGGAGGCAACAUGGCAACAUUGAGCAAAUCCCAAAAAGUUUCCUUAGUUCGGAUUGUUCUCUGCAACUCGAGAACAUGAAGUUGGAAUCGCUAGUAAUCGUAGAUCAGCACGCUACGGUGAAUUUGUAUCUAAGCCUUGUACACACCGCCCGUCACACUCUGAAAAUUUUCAUGCCUUGAAGCAAAAGAAGUUCACCAAGAACACACAGCGCAAUUAAAAAAAAACAUCUUCCCUUUUUUUUUUUCUGUGUCUUUGUUGGAACCUUUUCUAGAGUUAGGGAGGUGAUUGGAGUG
rnacentral:rRNA from 1 species